GGGGCUGUAGCUCAGUUGGGAGAGCGCUACAAUGGCAUUGUAGAGGUCAGGGGUUCGAUUCCCCUCAGCUCCACCA
rnacentral:tRNA from 5 species